GGAGUGUAUGGCAAAUGGCACAAAAUCAGGGUGAGCCUGAGAAACUAGUGGCAUGAGAGGUUUUCUCUUCUCUCCCUAGAACUGCCCCCAACCACCUUUCUCUUAGGUAAUUGAACACUGAAUAAACACUGAAAAUACUGAUUUGAACUUAUUUUGAAGAAGGGUUUAAGGGAAGGUUGAAAAAAAAAAUGAUACUGAAUACUCCGGCAAAAAAAUAUCACCAUCAACUUGUGUAAGCUUACCCAGAUGAUACGCUUUUUUCAUGCCUGGCUAUAGCCAUGAAACCCAUCAAUUCCCAAAUCUUUUCUACCAUGAUAGCUUGCUGAUUUUGAAGUUGAGUUUCAAUAAUAAUUGCUACUUUUCCAAAAAAAAAAAGGG
rnacentral:misc_RNA from 1 species